rnacentral:lncRNA from 1 species
CCUUCCGGAGGCUGGGGGACGCGGUCCUGCUCUCACCAGCUCGGCUGCGUGGGGUGGGGCCUUCCUCAUCUACCAGCGACGAGGAGGCCCGGCUUGGGCUGGUACCUGCGGGCGAGGGGAGGGCAAAGGAUCAAACGGGGUAGGGGGCCCUAUCCCCAGCUCUGCCGGCGAGGGGGUGGGAGGGGGACGGGUCACGUGGCGCCCCGCCCACUGCGCUGCUGUUGCCCUAACAUGGAAGUAUCCACCUGGCCAGGUGUGCGCCGCCGCUGGAGGCGGGGCCCGGGAGGACGCGGAAGGAGGAGGAGGAGGAGGGAGGAGAGACGAGGCAGGAGGGAGGGCGAGGUAGAGCGAGGUUGACUGGGGACUGGGGAGAACGACGGUGGGCGGCUUUCCCCGAGCAGCAGUCCAGAGGGAGGACCCGGGGGAGCCGAGGAGCGGGCUGCAGCGCCGAAAACGCGUCCCGCAUUUUUUUACCUACUUUGGUGCGAUUCCCGCCGUCCUCCCCUGAUUGGCCCAGCCCGGCACCGUCGGGCCCUCGCGUGAGGGAAAAAUCUGCACAUUCUUCCCUCUUCCCGAGGCGACUGUGGCCAUUCAGAGUGCUCUGUGAGUCACCGCUAAUUUCAGGUCUGGAAAAAAACAAGGAGUGAUUUGUUUAUCUUUGGGAACUGCCCCGGGAAGGAGGCCCGGCGGUCCGCAGGGGUGUGGCUGGGAAACGGCAGAGUUUACUGGGACUAUGGCGCCAGCCCCGCCGCUCUGUUUUGGGGGCUUUUAAUUUGGGGUUGGGUUUUUUUUUUUAAUGGGUGGUUACAUCACAAACACAGUUUUGAGAGAGCCUGAAGGAAUCCCAGUGUUUUUCCUGAGGGUGUUUUUGUGGAGAGUAAAGGGAGCAGAAAGAAUUUACAACUGGGAUGAUUACUUUAAGUUUUACUUAAUUUAGCCUACGGAGAACAUCACGGCCUCUACCAAAAUUAUUUUAAUUCUCCAAAUGUGAGGCUUUGGGACAAGACUUUUUUGUUGUUGUUUUUUGUUUUUUCUGGUCACUGUAUGAAAUCUAGACUGUUGUGUGACUUUUGUUCUGCCCACUCAACGUAGAAACUUAUUUCUCAUUACCUCGUCCUGUUUUUUGUUGUUGUUGUUCUUUUCCAGAAAAGUUGGGACAAUUCUAAGCCUUUACCACCUGAUAUAAGACUUUUGCAGGCCAGAGCAGUGGCCUCAACUUGAAACAGAACUUGUUAAGGUCAGAUUUGUGUUUCCCGUCCCCAGAGUUUCUGAGACUGUAUCCGAGUGAAGACGCAAUAAUUUGCAUUUCUCACAAUUUCCAGGUGAUGCUAAUGCGGCUGGUUGGGCACCACGCUUUGAGAAGAAGAACCCACCUAUAUCACACUGCAGCUGGAACCCUUUGUUUCUCUGCCUGGGACUCAGCGGCCCCUCCACCUGUAAAGUCUUCAAAGAGGAACUCCUGCUGGAUGGCUGAGUCAGCUAAGCUCUGGGUUUCAGGGCAGAUCAUGAUCUCACAGUUUGUGAGUCCGAACUCUUGCAGAGUCUGCUUGGGAUUCUCUCUCUCUCUCUCUCUCUCUCUCUCUGCCCCUCCCCUGCUUGUGUUCUCUCUCUCUCAAAAUAAAUAAAUGAACUCUAAAAAAAAAAAAAACAAAACAAAACAAAAAAAAACUUCAAAGACUUCCAGUCUAGUCCCAAAUAGAAUCCUGCUCAUUUAAAGAUACAAGCCCGCCUCCUCUAGCUUCUCUUCUGCAUUUCAUCCUCCCCCCUGCCACAGGUGUUCUAUCCAAACAUAAGAAUCUGAUCUUGUCGCUUUCCUGCUUAAAAUUUUCCAAGACUUCCUCAGCAGGUCAUUCUGGCCCUUCCUUCUGCCUCUGGCCUCUCAGCCUACCUUUUCUGCCCUGCCUCCCAUAUCUUCCAUAGUGCCCAAUUUCCUUCCAGACUGAACUUCUCAUUCUAGAACCUUCCUUAACUCUAACUGCCAUAAUUAUUGACCUGUUAGUUUCUCAGACUGGAAUGUUUCUAUUACCCUUCCAUCCUGAAAACCUCUGACCACUUCCCCAGGGAUCAUUAGUGGUUUCUUCUUUAAU